rnacentral:lncRNA from 1 species
GGCCCCUGUAUUUUAACAGCCUCACUUGACCAGGGAAAAUAUCAAAUGAGUUUAUACAAUAGUUUUACAUACAUAAUUAUAUUUAAAUAACCAAUACACCUGAUAAGCAUCACUGUAUAAAAUCACUAUCGUAUAUCCGGUUCACUGAACAAACAUGUGUUGAUUUAAACUGGAAAAACUUUAAAAUUUGAUUGCAAAAAUAAGUUAUAGUUUGAC